GUUAAUUCUUUUCUUCUUUUUCCUCUCUUGAAUCCAGGUUUCCCUUUUCUCUAUUCUUUCCGUCAAUCUCUUAUUUCUCAUUCUUCUUUCCAUUCUUCUUUAUAAUUUCCUGGGAUUUUGUUCACUAGGAAACCAAAGAAAUUUCUUGAUUCUUGAUUUCUUUCUUGCAUAAAACUCCUUCCCAUUUGAUUACUUGAAAUCCCAUUUGAUUACAUAAAAUUUUUACCAUGUAUUAUAUACCCUUCUCA
rnacentral:misc_RNA from 1 species